UCCCGUCUUCACUCCCGGCCCUAGGGGGUCGGAGUAGGUCCAGCACGAGUGACCCCCCGGGGCUGUGGGAUCUGAAACUUUUCCUUCUCUACUGCUUGUUCUCCCUUCCUCCAUCCCUCACCCCGAAGCGGGAAGCAGCUUUCUCUUCCCAGCUUCCAUCCAGUCUCUGAGUAGACCAGUCGCAGCUUAGAUGCUGGGAUCGCCUCAGAACACAUUUCUUUGCCCUUCACGGCCACUACCGGUACUGGGGUAUGCGAGUCUCAGGGCCGUUCGUUGCUCACAGGUCGAGCUGGUCUGGACUCUGUUCGACCACGAAUCAUGACUCCUUCCUGCCAGUUAUGUCCCCUCCGCACCCUUGCCCAGCCAUUUUACCAGGCCUCUCCACAUUGCGCUGCCCCACGGACCUUAUCAAGCUUGAAGAUCUUUAAAAAGAAAAGUAAAAGUAAUGCAAGAGAACAAAAAAGAUUGUCAGUGAAAGAUAUAUAAUUGCAUUAAGAUGUGGCCCUAAUCUUUCCACAGUCAAGCGUGUACUACUAUUUCACAGCAUUUUC
rnacentral:antisense_RNA from 1 species